UGUGGAUAUAGCUCAGUUGAUAGAGUGCUUGCCUCCCAUGCACAAGGCCUUGGGUUCAAUCCCCAGCACCAUAA
rnacentral:tRNA from 1 species